rnacentral:lncRNA from 1 species
UAAAGUUAUUUCUGCAAGGAAUCAUCAUCUCAGAAAGGGGAAAACCUCCACCUAGGAGGCAGCUGUGAGAUCCGGUGCACGGCCACUGAGGACACCAGGAGAGGGCAGCAAGCCUCGCACGUGUCGGCCUCGCCAGUUCCCUCCAUUGAAACCAUCGGGAAACAGGAUGAUGAUGAUGAAAAAAAACCACUUUUCUGCCUUACCUUGCCGUGCUGUUCCUCCUGAGGUUUGGAUAGAGGAGCUGAGAGUACCUUAUAAUGGAUUUUUCUGCUGCUCCUCUGGAAGUGGGGUUGGAGUUACCCAAA